rnacentral:rRNA from 1 species
UACGAGGGGUGCAAGCGUUGUUCGGAAUCACUGGGCGUAAAGCGUGCGUAGGCGGUUUGUUAAGUGAGAUGUGAAAUCGUGUGGCUCAACCAUAUCGUUGUGUCUCAUACUGGCAAACUAGAGGAUAGCAGAGGCAAGUGGAAUUACGAGUGUAGCAGUGAAAUGCGUAGAGAUUCGUAGGAACACCAUGGCGAAGGCAGCUUGCUGGGCUAUUUCUGACGCUCAGGCACGAAAGCGUGGGGAGCAAACAGG